GCGUCCAUUGUCUAAUG
rnacentral:tRNA from 1 species